GUUGGUCAGGCCUGGAAACAGACUUUUAUUAUAUUUUGGUGUUUAGAUUAAUUUUAUUCUGUUUAUCACUUUUGUACUUGGAAAAAGAAAGGGGUCCUUUCCAAAUAAAACCCUUUUGAAACAAGAUGUAGGCUACCUCUCCUGAUGGCCGGGGCCACCAUCUCAGCAGGCUUCAUCUGGAGGACCGAUCAAGUGUGAUGGAGCUGUCCUUCCCUCGGCUGCACUGCAUCAGCCCAGAGCAAGCCUCAGCUCUCUCUGCAGCUGGAGCUGGCACUGGCUGGGAAACAGCAGCUCAUCUAUGCCAUUUCCAGGUUUCUCUGUUUAGUGGGAGUGCUAGAACAAACCUCUCAGGGAAUAUUCACUCCCUUAAAGACAUCACAACAGGAGUGAAGAAACAGGCUUUGAGGACUGGUCUCAAGGAAUCGUCUCUUGUCUAUUGACAUUCUUCUGCUCAGUCCUACCAAAAAGGUUAGCAAUGCUUUAUCUCUA
rnacentral:lncRNA from 1 species